rnacentral:lncRNA from 1 species
CAGGCGUUUGCGGUUCGUCUGUAAACGCAAACACCUGUAUCCAGUCAAGCUAUGAUGGUUAUCCUCUCUUUGCCUGUCAUUCCCUUCGGUUCCUUGAAGGGGCUGCCAGGAUGUUCUAAGCUGUGAGUUGAUUUAUAAGGUGAAGGAUCUCUCCGAAACUUUGGCAUGGACGGGGAAAUUGACUAAACGCACCUCUCCUCCAGGGGGUGACGCGGCCUUUUGACAAUGAUUCAUCCGAGAAGGAAAAGAUCUAUGUGGAGAACAGAAUGUCCUGGGAUCAUUUUUUCUUCUACUUUUCUGUCUGAUCUCUUCCUUGCCAAAUUCUGAGUCUAUGGAAAAAUUGACCCAAUCCUUUGUGUGUCGUUAAUAAAAUUAUGAUUUAAGUUUUGUCCCCCA